rnacentral:rRNA from 1 species
CCUACGGGAGGCAGCAGUGGGGAAUAUUGCACAAUGGGGGAAACCCUGAUGCAGCGACGCCGCGUGCGUGAAGAAGUAUUUCGGUAUGUAAAGCUCUAUUAGCACGGAGGAAGCAAGACGGUACCUGACUAGUAAGCCACGGCUAACUACGUGCCAGCAGCCGCGGUAAUACGUAGGGGGCAAGCGUUAUCCGGAUUUACUGGGUGUAACGGGAGCGUAGACGGUAUGGCAAGUCUGAAGUGAAAGCCCAGGGCUUAACCCCGGAAUUGCGUUGGAAACUGUUAGACUAGAGUGCUGGAGAGGUAAGUGGAAUGUCUGGUGUAGCGGUGAAAUGCGUAGAGAUUAGGAGGAACACCAGUGGCGAAGGCGGCUUACUGGACAGUAACUGACGUUGAGGCUCGAAAGCGUGGGGAGCAAACAGGAUUAGAUACCCGUGUAGUC